rnacentral:rRNA from 1 species
GUGGGGAAUCUUCCGCAAUGGACGAAAGUCUGACGGAGCAACGCCGCGUGAGUGAUGAAGGUCUUCGGAUUGUAAAGCUCUGUUAAUCGGGACGAAAGAGCCUAGUGUGAAUAAUGCUAGGAAGUGACGGUACCGGAAUAGAAAGCCACGGCUAACUACGUGCCAGCAGCCGCGGUAAUACGUAGGUGGCAAGCGUUGUCCGGAAUUAUUGGGCGUAAAGCGCGCGCAGGCGGAUCUGCCAGUCUGUAUUAAAAGUUCGGGGCUUAACCCCGUGAUGGGAUGGAAACUACAGAUCUAGAGUAUCGGAGAGGAAAGUGGAAUUCCUAGUGUAGCGGUGAAAUGCGUAGAUAUUAGGAAGAACACCAGUGGCGAAGGCGACUUUCUGGACGAAAACUGACGCUGAGGCGCGAAAGCCAGGGGAGCGAACGGGAUUAGAUACCCCAGUAGUCC